rnacentral:rRNA from 1 species
UUAUUUGAAACGGGAUACAACCCCUAAUACUGGGUUAAAUCUAGAUAUAUCAAAUAAAGUGGGCCUAAAAGCAGCCAUCUUCCAAAAAGCGUUAAAGCUUAACAUAUUGUAUCUACAAUUCCACAAUUUUUACUUAACCCUUCAUCACUACUGAACUAUUUUAUACCCCUAUAAAAGUCAUUAUGCUAGAACUAGUAACAAGAAAUUGCCCUUCUCCAAAAUGUAUGUUUAAACCAAAAUGGACACUCCACUGGUAGUUAACGUAAAUGUAAAAAUCAUAGCACCAUAUACUAGAAAACCCUAUGACUCCCCAACGUCAACCUUACACUAGAACAUUACAGGAAAGAUUAAAAGAGAAAGAAGGAACUCGGCAAACCACAGUCCCGCCUGUUUACCAAAAACACCGCCUCUUGCUCCAAAUAUAAGAGGUCCAGCCUGCCCAGUGACAUAGUUUAACGGCCGCGGUACCCUAACCGUGCGAAGGUAGCAUAAUCACUUGUUCUUUAAAUAAGGACUCGUAUCAACGGCAUCACGAGGGCUGUACUGUCUCCUUUCUCCAAUCAGUGAAACUGAUCUCCCCGUGAAGAAGCGGGGAUUGACCU